rnacentral:rRNA from 1 species
UACAGAGGGUGCAAGCGUUAAUCGGAAUUACUGGGCGUAAAGCGUGCGUAGACGGUCAUGUAAGUCGGGUGUGAAAGCCCCGGGCUCAACCUGGGAAUUGCAUUCGAGACUGCAUGGCUAGGGUGCGGAAGAGGGAAGCGGAAUUUCCGGUGUAGCGGUGAAAUGCGUAGAUAUCGGAAGGAACACCAGUGGCGAAAAGCGGCUUCCUGGUCCAGCACCGACGUUCAGGCACGAAAGCGUGGGGAGCAAACAGG